CACGGGGGGAGCAAGCGUUGUUCGGAAUCACUGGGCGUAAAGGGCGUGUAGGCGGUCAGGUAAGUGGGACGCGAAAUCCCUCGGCUCACCCGAGGACCUGCGUCCCAUACUGCUUGGCUUGAGUAUGGGAGAGGUUGAGGGAAUUCCUGGUGUAGCGGUGAGAUGCGUAGAUAUCAGGAGGAACACCGGUGGCGAAGGCGCUCAUCUGGCCCAAUACUGACGCUGAGGCGCGAAAGCUAGGGGAGCAAACGGG
rnacentral:rRNA from 1 species